GCAAACAGAGAAGAUGUCAAACGUUUGCUGUCCGGCUCUUGGUUCAGUUGAAUACGACCAACACAAAGGAGGCAAUACGGGAAGACAAUAAUCCAAACUAAGGACACCAAUGUUUGGUUCAGGAACGGAGGAUUAAAUGAAGAGAGGAGAGGCAACAACAGACAGACGCAGCAGAGGAGGCAGAGCAAAAGCGAAACUACACCAAAUACCAUGAAACCAAACAGCUGAAGACAACAGAGCUAAGGAGAGGUACUCACACACACAGGGGAAAACUAACAACUGAGGGAGCAAACAGGCUGAGGUCAGUCCAAAACAUACAGGAGCACAACAGAGUCCAAGAGGGGGAAUCCACAAAGGGGGGAGCAGAAGUGUCCAUGAACCAACGUAGUCCAGAGGUGGUAGGUUUGGGUGGGGGAACUGAAUCUGUGAAAACAAGUGAGUCAAUGAUCCAGCAAGGCUUGAAAGAAGGCACAGACCUUAAAUAGCUGAGGUGGAGAACAGAUGAGUAGUAUUUAGCUGCUUACUGCCACUGACACUCAUGGCAGUAAUCAGCUGGUAGAGUGCAGGUAGCUCAAGAAGGUGAGUGACUGGGAGAAAGAGACAGGAGGGAGAGAUGACAGACAGAGGGAGCCAAAGGAAAAAAGUCAAAACACACAGAUGAGCAAUAAUGGAGAAGGAAAGGAAAAAGGAGGAAGAAGGGCAGGAUCAUAACAGUUCGAGUUUUAUGGAUUUAUGUGGACUUCUGGACUCAGUUUGUCCAGCAGUGAUUGUUGGACCGAACCCUCUUUUAUUACUGGGAGACAAUCACCACCA